UUCGACCAUCAGAUGAAGUGAUUCUUUUCUCUAAUACAGAUGAUGCCGAACUAAGAACUGAGCCUCCUAGCAAGCAAGCUAACUAGCUAG